rnacentral:rRNA from 1 species
UAGCGAAGGGGGCUAGCGUUGCUCGGAAUCACUGGGCGUAAAGGGCGCGUAGGCGGCCAUUCAAGUCGGAGGUGAAAGCCCAGGGCUCAACCCUGGAAUUGCCUUCGAUACUGUUUGGCUAGAGACCGGAAGAGGUAAGUGGAACUGCGAGUGUAGAGGUGAAAUUCGUAGAUAUUCGCAAGAACACCAGUGGCGAAGGCGGCUUACUGGUCCGGUUCCUGACGCUGAGGCGCGAAAGCGUGGGGAGCAA